AUGGGAAUCGGAGGGAAAGAAAGGGAAGUGGAAGAUUUACAUAAGAUGGAAAAUGGAGGGAAGCAAAAAAUGGGGGAUUUUGUCUUAAAGGGAAAAUGGGAAACGCGGGAGAUUUUGAAAUAUUUUGCGGGUAAGAAUAAUCCAACCGCGGAAGAUCAGAGAGAAAUCCACCGACGGAGUGCUGCACCUGGCGACACUCUCUUCCGAUGUGGAAGCUCAUCUUCUAUUCUCCGGUUCUCGCGCGGUUCAAUUCAACGUUACGAUGUGAAGAAGAGUGGGUGCAGAGACAAGCAAAUCAUAGGGGAAUCAAUCUAUGAACCGAUCGACGAGGGGAGGCAUAGGGUGUUUGAAGAAACCGGGGCUGUUAUUGCCUCAGAAGCUCAAAGUUGGUCACAGUGUAGAAAGAAAAAGUUUAAUCAGUUGAUGUUGGGAGAAUUUAUUGGAGCUAAGCAUCAAGGUGAAGAAAGUUUAUAUAAAAGAGAGGGAUUCAAAGUGAACUAUCCACGAUAAACAGAGUUAAAAAAGACAUGGAGCUCGUCAAAGGAGGAGAGCAAAUCUUAACAUCAGAAGACGCUAACGUUAUAACAUUGAGGUUGCUCAACCUUGGACAAUGGGUGAGCAAGACAUACCUCCCCAUUCUUGAGCAAGCCUUGUUUGUGGUUUUCUCAACCGUGUUUGAAAUCUUCAUAAGAUCAAUUGACACGUUUAGCAAAUAAAUCCUUGUAGAUAGUUAUUAUUAUUUAUAUGUAUUUGAUACUUCACUAUCUCAGUUACUCAACUGAUCCUUUUGCGUUGUUAUUGUAAAAGGGAAGCUGUAAAUUUUCAACAUCUCCAUGAAUACACAAUAACAUAACAAUGGUUAUAUCAUUGUCCCAGCA